GCUUUAAUUUGCAUAAACACAGGCAUCAUAUGAAUAUUCAGUGAGUGGCUUUGCAUUAAGUAAGUGCCCUUAAUCAGCUUUUCAGUUCAGUUUUAUUGGUUACACGCACAGUCAGUUAUUUCAUCCAGAAUAUCUGAAGGCCCUACAAACUAACCAGGCACUACUUAAAUACCAACAGGAGCAGCUCACUGAGUUCACAAGGCCUUCCGGAGACUUCUCACAAAGCCGCUAGAUGGCAUGAGAGCACUGCACUGGACCCGCUCAGCCACACGGCCGCGUGUAACACUGAGGCAUUUAUUCUCUUCAUGCUGAGAGCUCAGUGUUUAGUCAAAUCACCUAAAUUCUUCUAUUUCAUGGCUCCUGUAUCUCCAGGAGAAGUCUUCUCAAAGAAAUAUCCAUGAAAUCCAUGGGCAUUGUGAAGCCAUCUUUCUCCAUUACCCAAACAUUCAGCAUCUACUGUUCCUUGGCAGAUUUCACAAAGGGCUGCACACCAGGAGACGAAAAGAAGAGUGGGGACCAUGCUUCCUGGAACUACCUCUACUGUGUGCCAGGGUGAUCCCACAUGAAUGCUCUUACUGCUGGAACCUCUACUAUCGAGUCACAAUAUCAGAAGGACCCAAAUAUUCAUUAUUUCUUCAUAGGAACCAGGUGGUGACAAGGAAAGAGAAAUUGGGCUUGAGAACAUCACUGGUAAACUGGCUACAUAAAUGGAAAACAGUCCUCCCAGGCUUCAAGGGGAGUUCUCUUCAAUCAGCACUGUGGGAUUCAGAAAAGAGCUUUGUACUUUCUUAAUGGAAACCAUCGGUGACAUUAGCAACUUCAAUCAUGUGUUUCCUCUGCCUCCCUCUUUCUAGAUGGAAGAGUCCAAGCCUUCCAACCUAUCUUCAGAGGGUAGAUCCCCAGCCUCCUGAGCAUCUCACUUCUGUUCUCUAGACAACUACACUGAAUUGGGGGUAUAGAAUUCAGAGGCAGUUUAAGUGGUUUUCCCCAGCUUUAUGCUUUUUCCACCAUACUUUUCUUCCUAAGUAAAACUUUAGUUCUAAUUAUGGAAUAAUUUGAGUGGCUCUUUUUUAUUUCUCCCCAAACCCUUGAUUUCUCCUUGAAUCUCAUUUGUGUCUGUCAGUCGGUUGACAUUUCCUUAGAAUCCAAGUCUGUGCUUGGUAAAUUUUGCCAAUUUCUCAGAAUUGUCUUACUUUUCAGAGCUUUCUCUUUAUUUUAUCCUUUUACAGUUCCU
rnacentral:lncRNA from 1 species